rnacentral:rRNA from 1 species
GACGAACGCUGGCGGCGUGCCUAAUACAUGCAAGUCGAGCGCAGGAAGCCGUCUGAACCCUUCGGGGGGACGACGAUGGAAUGAGCGGCGGACGGGUGAGUAACACGUAAAGAACCUGCCCAUAGGUCUGGGAUAACCACGAGAAAUCGGGGCUAAUACCGGAUGUGUCAUCGGACCGCAUGGUCCGCUGAUGAAAGGCGCUCGGGCGUCGCCCAUGGAUGGCUUUGCGGUGCAUUAGCUAGUUGGUGGGGUAACGGCCCACCAAGGCGACGAUGCAUAGCCGACCUGAGAGGGUGAUCGGCCACACUGGGACUGAGACACGGCCCAGACUCCUACGGGAGGCAGCAGUAGGGAAUCUUCCACAAUGGACGAAAGUCUGAUGGAGCAACGCCGCGUGAACGAUGAAGGCUUUCGGGUCGUAAAGUCCUGUUGUAAGGGAAGAACAAGUGCCGCAGGCAAUGGCGGCACCUUGACGGUACCUUGCGAGAAAGCCACGGCUAACUACGUGCCAGCCGCCGCCGUAA